rnacentral:rRNA from 1 species
UUAAAUGGCCGCAGUAUUUUAACUGUGCAAAGGUAGCAUAAUCAUUAGUCUUUUAAUUGAAGGCUUGUAUGAAUGGUUGGACGAAAUAUUAACUGUUUCAUAAAAAUUGAAUUAGAAUUUUAUUUUUUAGUUAAAAAGCUAAAAUAAUUUUAAAAGACGAGAAGACCCUAUAGAUCUUUAUAAUUUAUAUAUUAUAGUUAUUUAGAUUAUUUAAAUUAUGAUUAUAUAAAUUAUUUUGUUGGGGUGACAUUAAAAUUUAAUUAACUUUUAAUUUAUUUUUACAUUGAUUUAUGAAUAAUUGAUCCAUUAUUAAUGAUUAAAAAAUUAAGUUACCUUAGGGAUAACAGCGUAAUUUUUUUGAAGAGUUCAUAUCGAUAAAAAAGAUUGCGACCUCGAUGUUGGAUUAAGAUAUAAUUUUGGGUGCAGCAAUUCAAUUAUUAAGUC